AUUUUGUAAAGUUGUUCUAGUUUUGUAACUAAAAUGGUUUGGCAGUGAGCGAUUCUUAUUAGGGGAAUAUGCAUAGUGAAGGAUGGUCCACCUAUUAGUUUACUCUUUUUAUGUUGGUGUAUGUCUGGUUUGAUAUUAUUGUUGAAUAAUUUAAGUUUGUGUAGUUUUAGUUAAGCUAAGUCUAUGUGCUGCUUAUGGGAGUUUUUGUGUGUUACAUUAAUAAGGGUGUUAUUGUAAGAUGAUGUGAUUUAGA
rnacentral:rRNA from 1 species